GAGAGACUCGUUUUGCUUAUGGGCUAAGGGAAAACUUCCCAUGGAGAGAAAGGGAUUGAAGAUACAGAAAAAAGAGAAUCAUUAAUGGAGGAAGUUUCCAGAAAAGCCCGAAGAUCUUGUAAAUCUAUACCCUAAGUGAAAGGAUUCACUUUGGAAGGAAGCAACGUCAUUUUCAUCCUCGGAUAUCUAAUGGGUGGAAGAUGAUCAGCUUGCUAUACUAAAAGCUGCUUCAGCAAACUGCUGUGUACUCUACUGGAUAUUAACAGAUAGAGAGAGGGAAGCCACUCUGCUUUUCUGACAGACAGAUUUCACAAAACUCCAUACAGGUGACAC
rnacentral:lncRNA from 1 species